CCUAGUACGAGAGGACCGGAGUGGACGACCCUCUGGUGUUCCGGUUGUCACGCCAGUGGCAUUGCCGGGUAGCUAUGGUCGGACAGGAUAACCGCUGAAAGCAUCUAAGCGGGAAGCCCCCUUCAAGAUGAGACAUCCCUGAGGCCUAGAGCCUCCUAAAGGGCCCAGCGAGACCAGCUGGUUGAUAGGCACGGUGUGGAAGCGCUGCAAGGCGUUGAGCUAACGUGUACUAAUGGCCCGUGAGGCUUGACCCUAUAACACCCAAGGGGU
rnacentral:rRNA from 2 species